UUUUUUCAACUUCAACUUGGAGUAACAUGGAAUCAAAUCAAAAGAAGUAUACCUGAAAAUGUGGAAUAGAAAAUGAAAGAAAAGCAAAUCAGCAGCAAUAGUGAAUAGCAGUGUCAAUGGGGACUAGAACACAGCCCAGGAAUAAAUCACAACCCAGAAUGAACUUGAAACCAUAUUAAAAUGAAAGAUCGACCACAAAUCAACUGAAUGCGCCCAAAUAACUCCAAAUUGAACUUGAAUUAACCCAAAAUUGGACUGAUAGACCUCAGAAGAACUUUAACACAUUAAAAUUAAACCAUGACACCAAGAGCAACUAUUGAAACUUCGAAAUUGAGCCAAAGCUCAAUUUAACAGUACUUGUGCUGAUCUUUUUUGCUGCAUUUUCUAUUUUUUUGGGGGAAUUUUCUAUUGUUUUGUUUUUGGUUUUUGAUUUUGAUUAAUUUGCUAUCUUCAAGUAAAAACUGAGAAUUCUAUGGCAGAAGAAAAAACUUCCCUAUCAAGCCUAUCUGCAAGGAAAAUCUGAGAAAUCUAUGGCAGAAAAAAAACUUCCUAUCAAGGCAUUAUGAUGCCUUUUGAUAGUCCUGAGGGAGGGAAGCCCUCAAUUUUGCAUUUUACAUAUUAGUCCCUCCCCUUUUCAGCUUUAAUCCCUUAUCUUUUAACUUAUUACCAAAGCUAGUGUCCUAAUUUGGCUGAAAUCUACACUAAAGUCCUAUUCUAGAAGGCUCUAGGGUGUUCUUCUACCCAUAUAAUACCUAUACUAUCCUUGCUUUUGUUUUGAAAUUGCUAUUCUUGACAAAUAAGCCAUUCCAUUCCAAAAUUACCCCUGAAAACCCCUUGAAAUUACCGAAUCUAAUUAAACCUUCAACAGUUAUAACCAAUCACCCUAACCAACUCAAAACUAAUACCAAAUAACACUAUCAUUGAAUUAAUAGCUAACAAACAAACUCAUGAACUGUAAUCAAUCCAAAUAGAUUCCAGAAGAACAAAAUAGACAAAAAUCAAUAGGAACAAACUAAAAUCUUAUUUAAACAGAUUAAAAGAAAUUUAAACUUUAUACUGCUAAACUAAAAAAAUCUCUAUCAAACAUAUAAAACUAAACUAUUUACUGGAAUCAGGGCCAAAUCCCAAGUCAAUAUCACAUAAACAGAACAAAAGGAGAAACCAAAUUAAACGAACGACUAAUUGAACCCAUUAACAUUUGAGCAUUCAAACUAACAAAAACCAAAAGCGAAUCAGAAUUUAAAAUAAGAAAUAAAAAUAAAUCUAAGCAUUUAUAACAUUCAUAGAGAUGAGAUGCUGUUAAAGCAGACUAGAAAUUAAAAACUAUGCUCGAUUGAACAGACAAAACAACGAAUCAAAAUAAAAGAAAAACAAAAGAAAAUAUAGAGAAGAAAACUUACUGAAAUUCGGACUUCAUAAAAAAAACCUUCGAAAUUAACUCAAAUUAAUAUUAUGCGUCCAUUUAUAGACCUAUAAUAUUAAUUAGAGUUCACUCAACUUGAAAAAUCCUCAAAACAGUACAAAAAUGUACAACCCUAGAUUCAAAAUUUGAGCUUAAGCACUGAGAUUUGAGGGGUUUUGGUUAAGGAUUAAGGAUAAGGGAGGUCAGGGAAGUGUAGGAUAUGAAUUUGGGAUUAUUUGGACAAGGUAAGGUCUUGGUCGGAAAAUUUAGAUUCAAUAUUUGAGCUUUUUGGCUAUGUUCCAGGAAAACCAAUACCGGAUAUGGAAAGAGGAGGACGAUGGGAGAUUGGGGGUGUAAUUUUGAGGUUGAUUGGAGACGGUGGCAUCCAUCACCGGCAGUGUUACUGUCGACACCCCCCUUUUCCCUAAAAAAGCGAAAUCAUGUUUUACGAUUUUAUGGGGAAAACAACUCCAUUUACCGUUUGGGAAUUGUGUUAUGGAAUUGGAAGAGUCGCCACCUAAUGAUUAUAGUACAUUAGGACACUUAAGAGAGAGUAUUUUGAAAAGAAAACCAGAGUUCGGGUAAGGGAUUGAGAUUAUCUCGAGGGAAGGUGUUAGGAACCCCUCAAGAUCCACUAGUGUGGUUCCCGGCCGUUAAUCGUGACUUUAUAAAAAAUAUGAAACAAUUAAACAAGUAAGGUUCACAAAUAUAACAUUCAUACAACUCGAAAAGCUUAAUAGAAGAAAGAAGGACGUAAAUUCAAUGACUAGUGUGGUUCCUGGCCGUGUUAAUCGUGACUUUAUAAAAAAUAUGAAACAAUUAAACAAGUAAGGUUCACAAAUAUAACAUUCAUACAACUCAAAAAGCUUUAAAGAAGAAAGAAGGACGUAAAUUCAAAAUAAAAGAGAGGGUUGAUUUGAAAAANNNNNNNNNNNNNNNNNNNNNNNNNNNNNNNNNNNNNNNNNNNNNNNNNNNNNNNNNNNNNNNNNAAAAGCAUUACUAUAGAAGAACAUUUAAAUAAAGCAAACAAAAGAGAGAAGGGUCCUAGGUUUAACUACAAUAUGGAUCAUUCGAUGAAAUAUCCCACACAUAUUCCCAAAGAGGGGCCGCUUUAUGAUAUUAUCGCAUCGUCAUCCUCUCCAUUUUCUACCCUUCCCACCUUGUAGAGGUUAUUUAAGUGUGUGAAUUGGUCACGAAUGUUUAUUGCGUGCUAUUACCCAUCCCGUCCUAUAGAUCCUAGAGGGAAUUUAGGAUCAUUAUUCCAAUAAGGUAGGAACUAGAUUGAACCCUUAAGUUUAAAGGUUAAAAGUACUAAGCGACAAACAAAAACAAAUAGGACUUGCAUAUAAAGGAAUAAUAUAAAACAUAUAAAAGGCUCAAAUAACCGUCCAUAAGAGAACACGUAAGUAGCACAUCACAAACACAUGUAAGGUCUAGGAAGAGAGAGUAUUAAAAGCUGGAGUGUUGACAAAUACAUUGAAGACAACAGCUGAAAAAGUUUUAAAACAGAAUUCGCGUAAAAGAGUUGGAUGAAACUUUUGAGACUUGAGAAAGGCAAAUGGAUGUGUAACAUUAUAGAAAUUGGAGGGAAAACCUUUUAAACCCACAUGAAAAUACAUAACACAUAUGACAAACCAGUUUUAGGGCAGGUGAGGUAGAAAACAGAUGUAAAACUAUUCAGAAAUGUUAAAGAGCGUGUAAGCGUAUUAGUUGUGAACCAAUAGUUUUAAAAUUGCAGAAGAUACAGUAUUCAGACAAGUUUUAGAAAAAUAGUAAUCCAGUUCUGGACUAGGAAGAAGAGUAACUUAGUAAAACAUUCGCACAGAAGUGAUUGAAAAUAAGGCAGAAGUUAGUGUAAAAGAUCAGCGGACUUUAGAGAGGCAAACAAAUUCAGACGGUUUAAAGAGGGUGAAUAGCUUACGCAUGAUUUAAGGGAUUAAUUAUCUAACCUAAGUUUUGACUAGGCGUUGUAUAACCACAAGAGAAAGGUGGACAUAGAUGUUCGUUUCCCAAUUUUAAAAGAAACAGGUUAACCAGUUUUAUAUUUGUUUAGCGAAAUUAGUGAGGCAUUCAACAGUUCCAAAAGAAAGACCCUAAGUACAUGAUUUCUAAUGCAUAUAAAGGCCCUAAAACAUGGUAUCUAUAUGCAAUGGCAGUAACUUGAUUAUUAACUGAUUGUGAAUAAAAAUAACAUGCUGAAAGUAAAAGUCCUAAGAACAUGAUUUCUAUACAUGAAAUGCAUGUCCUAUGCAUGGUUUCUAUUACGCAAAUAGAUAAAUAAAAUCCUAUAAACAUGUUUUCUACCCAUUCCCUUAAUAAUCAUGCAUAACCCUCCCCAAUUUCACUAUAAUCCCCAUUGUUAUUUACAAGUUAUUACAGACCAAGUAAUUUAAAAAAAAUACAGCAGUGAAAGAAAGAAGAAACUAUUCAAUAGGGAGCCUACAACCAGGCCCAGCAUCUCCAAACUUACUUCUUUCUAGAUUCACAGCCAUUACCAAGGCUUGGGUGCGGCAAGGUCCCCUAAGGGAUCGUUUGAACCCCUGGCCAAUACCAAGCACGCAAAAUAUCCAAAUUUGAUAAAUGCAAGCAUGGAAGUGCCAGCCUUGUGCAUUAGAGUUCCAUGGGUGCUCAAGGCUCCCAAGGCAGUGCUUACACUAAGGGGGCAGACCCGAAAGCUCUAAGAAUGAGAUUGUGAUUAGAAUUGAAAGAGUUGAAAACAAUUGAGAGACAGUUUAAGAAAUCAUUUGAAAACCCUAAAGCUCUAAGAAUGAGAUUGUGAUUAGAAUUGAGAGAGUUGAAAACAAUUGAAAGACAGUUCAAAAAAUCAGUUGAAAGAAUUGAAAAAGUUGAGACAGUUUAAAAGAGUUGAAAGAUUUGGAGAAGUUUGAGAUAGUUAAAAGAUAUUUGAAGGAGUUUGAAAAGUUUUUCUGAAAUCAUUUAGAUUGAUCAGUUUUAGAAUAACAGAGCAUCACACAGAUAAGGGCAAAAGGGGGAGGGAACAAAUAAGCAAAGUAAACUACCUACACAUGAAACAUGUUGAAAGUAACCAGACAUGGUUGCAAACAUGAGUUCAGCUCUUACUAUACCAAACUCUAACACACUUAGCCUCAAACAUGGGUUUUGGGUUAAUCAAGUAGCCAAGAAGACAUGGAUGCAUGGUAGUAGCACACAAGGAAAAAUAAACAUUCAUUAAGACAGGGGAGGGGGGGGGUAAGGGUGCAAAUAAGUAAAGUGUACAAACAACAUAUGGAGGAAAAUAAUCAGAUAUGGUUGUAAAACAAGGUUUUAGUUAUUACUGCACCAAACCCCAAAUAUAAUCAACUCCAGGGAGAGAUUUCAGGGCUGUUGAGUAGCCAAGCAGUAGUGCACAUGGAAAAGGAAAAAAUACACUGAGACAAGGAAAGGGGGUAGGGGGAAACAUGCUGAGCUAAACUAGGUAGACUAACAGCUACAUGCUAGUGGCAAUAAGAGCAACUGAACCAUAGGUAAAAGCAUACAAGAAACAUUAUGAAAUGAAAAAUUAAUUGAAACAUGUUGUUGUGGAAACUGUAUUUUAAAGGGGUGACAUACCAGUUGCAGGUAAUAGGAUACAAUAGCAAUGAAAUAGUGCACAAAGGGAGAGCAAAGUGUGCAAAGAAUGAGAGCAGCAGUCUGAGUAACAACAGUAUGAGAAUAGCAGCAGCAAUAUGAGAAUAGCAGCAACAAGAGACCCAAUGUGGACAAACAAAUAAAACCAAGUAAUGUAAAGUAAUCAACCCAGGCUACUCAAUCUUGUCUUUUAGCCGAUUGAGUGUUCAAAUAAGAGAAUGAGAGAGUAUCGUAAUAGCAGAGAAAGAGAGAAUUCAGAGAGUCUGAGGUUGUGAGAGAAAUGUGUCUUGGUGUGUUCAAAGAGAAAGGUGAGGAGUAUUUAUAGUACUAAAAACGAGUAAACCAAUAAGGUAUCAAUCUGUAUUUAAGGAACUAAGUAUAAAUCAUACUCAAACAGGCAUAAGGACUCCCUAUAGUUGAGGAAUCAAAGUCAUAACGAGUAAACCAAUAAGGUAUCAAUCUAUAUUUAAGGAACUAAGUAUAAAUCAUACCCAAACAGGCAUAAGGACUCCCUAUAAUUGAGGAAUCAAAGUCAAACGGUAAUAAGAAGUUAUUUUAAAAGGAAAGGAAUCACAAAGUAUGGCAUGGUCACAUAAGAAAACAAAAACUAGUAUAAGGUAUAUAAUGAAGACUAGGUGCAUGAUACUUAACCAGGAAAAUAUGUCAAGCAAAUAAUUUAACAUACUUGUGCAUACGUAUAAGGAAAAAUACCACUUUAAUUCUGGAAAUAAUUUUCGAAUUAAUGAACGAGAUUGAAAACCUAGGAGUUCAGUUAUUAAUUGAGGAAUGUAUCCAACUGAUUGAGGAAGAAAAUUCGAAAUCAAUACCAAAACUGCAAGGAGAAUACACAAAAUCACAAUUUAAGGCCAAUAAUCACAACCUUGAAGAGAGCUUGUAAGAAUCAGUAUAAAAUCACAAGAUAAACAGCCAAGAAAACCUUAGGAGAAGAACAGAGCAUGGUAGGGGAAUGAAACACUAGCAACAAAAUUAAAGCAAAGAGCACGAAACUCGUAGAAGGACCCAGAAGAACAUGCAAACAGGCAAAUACAAAUACAAACAUGUAGGGUUACGAGUUUUCAUCAAAUUUAAACAAAAUGGUUAGAAGUAGUACUGAGAGUUACGGAUUAGUACCCAAAUCAGAGAAGUAAAGUGUUUUCGAAAGGAGUUAAGAAACCCUAGUUUUAGAAAAGGAACCAAAAUGUCUAAAACUCGAAUAAUCAAAGAUAUCAUGUAAUAGGAAUGUAUAAGACAAAGGUUAAACCAAAAGAAAUCGUUUAAUAGAUAGAGACCAAAGAGAUUUAGGCAAAAAAAUAGGGUUUGCAAAAUAAAUUAGGGAAAUGAGAAACCUGGCCGUGAAACUCGUAUAUGAUGCCAUAGAUGGCAUCAUCGAACAAAAACCACCGGAGAAAAGCCUGAAACAGACCCAAGUGAAGCUUCAGUGACCUUCUUUCAUGGCAGAAGCUACUGGGCAUCAAGCUUUGGAGAGAAAGCAACGAUACAAGGACUCCAUGGCUGCUAGAGGUCGAGAGAAGUGAGGGAGGAGCGGGACAGAGAGGUGAUGAUCUUCAUCGGAGAAGAAGGAGAGAACCAGAAGGUUCCAGAGAGCAAACGUUUAGAGAAAU
rnacentral:lncRNA from 1 species